rnacentral:rRNA from 1 species
GAUGAACGCUGGCGGCGUGUUUAACACAUGCAAGUCGAACGAUGAAGCCCAGCUUGCUGGGCGGAUUAGUGGCGAACGGGUGAGUAACACGUGAGUAACCUGCCCUUGACUCUGGGAUAAGCCCGGGAAACUGGGUCUAAUACCGGAUAGGAGCGCCUGUCGCAUGACGGGUGCUGGAAAGAUCUUUCGGUCAUGGAUGGACUCGCGGCCUAUCAGCUUGUUGGUGAGGUAACGGCUCACCAAGGCGACGACGGGUAGCCGGCCUGAGAGGGUGACCGGCCACACUGGGACUGAGACACGGCCCAGACCCCUACGGGAGGCAGCAGUGGGGAAUAUUGCACAAUGGGCGAAAGCCUGAUGCAGCGACGCCGCGUGAGGGAUGACGGCCUUCGGGUUGUAAACCUCUUUCAGCAGGGAAGAAGCGAAAGUGACGGUACCUGCAGAAGAAGCACCGGCUAACUACGUG